UCGUGCAACUGGGUCAGGGUAGGCAGAGCGGCCUUGAUACGGCCGUCGUCGGUGAUCUUGUCCCCAUCGAGCGGG
rnacentral:tRNA from 1 species